GUCUCUGUGGCGCAAUGGAUAGCGCAUUGGACUUCUAAUUCAAAGGUUGUGGGUUCGAAUCCCACCAGAGUCG
rnacentral:tRNA from 1 species